GACGAACGCUGGCGGCGUGCUUAACACAUGCAAGUCGAACGCUGAAGCCCAGCUUGCUGGGUGGAUGAGUGGCGAACGGGUGAGUAACACGUGAGUAACCUGCCCCCUUCUUUGGGAUAACGCCCGGAAACGGGUGCUAAUACUGGAUAUUCACUGGCCUUCGCAUGGGGGUUGGUGGAAAGGUUUUUUCUGGUGGGGGAUGGGCUCGCGGCCUAUCAGCUUGUUGGUGGGGUGAUGGCCUACCAAGGCUUUGACGGGUAGCCGGCCUGAGAGGGUGACCGGUCACAUUGGGACUGAGAUACGGCCCAGACUCCUACGGGAGGCAGCAGUGGGGAAUAUUGCACAAUGGGCGAAAGCCUGAUGCAGCGACGCCGCGUGAGGGAUGACGGCCUUCGGGUUGUAAACCUCUUUCGCUCAUGGUCAAGCCGCAACAGUGGUUGUGGUGAGGGUAGUGGGUAAAGAAGCGCCGGCUAACUACGUGCCAGCAGCCGCGGUAAUACGUAGGGCGCGAGCGUUGUCCGGAAUUAUUGCGCGUAAAGGGCUUGUAGGCGGUUGGUCGCGUCUGCCGUGAAAUCCUCUGGCUUAACUGUGGGCGUGCGGUGUGUACGUGCUGACUUGAGUGCGGUAUGGGAUACUGGAACUCCUGGUGUAUCGUUGGAAUGCUCACAUAUC
rnacentral:rRNA from 1 species